GCGCCCGUAGUUCAGCUGGAUAGAAUAUCGGCUUCCGACGCCGACGGUCAGAGGUUCGAAUCCUCUCGGGCGCGCCA
rnacentral:tRNA from 1 species